GAUGAACGCUGGCGGCGUGCUUAACACAUGCAAGUCGAACGAAGCACUUUAUUUGAUUUCCGUCGUGACUGAUUAUCUUGUGACUGAGUGGCGGACGUGUGAGUAGCGCUGGGGUAACAUGCCUGGUACAGGGGGAUAAUAGUGGGUAACGGCUGCUAAUACCGCAGGAGGGCACAGCAUCGCAUGAUGCAGUGUGGAAAAGUCGGGUGGUCUAAGAGGGACCGGCGUAGGGUUAUCUAGAGGGUGAGGUAAGUGCCUACCAAGGCGACGAGCCAUAGCCGGGAUGUGAGGGUGACCCGACACAUUUGCAGUGAGCCACGGCCCAAACUACUACGGGAUGGAGCAGUGGGGAAUCCAGCACAGUGGGCGAAAGGCUGAUGCAGCUACGCCGCGUGAGCGCAGAAGUAUUGCGGUAUGUACAGCUCUAUAAGAAGGGAAGAUAAUGACGUUACCUGCAGAAGAAGCACCGGCUAAAUACGUG
rnacentral:rRNA from 1 species